GUCGUAUCCAUUUCCAACUGCUGGAAUUUAAUUUAUUAAUAGUUCGACGACAAGAAUGCACGCGAUGGCAAAGAGCGUUCCCCUUCAGUUGUUCAUUACUGUAUGGAAACGACGCGGGAACUCUGGUGAAACAUAAUCAAAGCCAGACCCCCACAGAUGCAGUCAUUACACAUCCUACGGUGAAGACAAGUUUUGGGGGAACCUGCUCAAGUGACUGAUGAUCGUAAAACAACUGAUCCUCUCAUUUGGAGUUCAAGUACAAUACCCUUCUUUGUUCCGGCAAACCUUUUGAAUGCAAAUGAAGGAAAUUUUGCUAAUCGUUUGGGCAGACGAAAAAAAGAGGAAGAAGUGGUGGACAGGGAACACAAAACCUUGAAGCUAUGUGACGAUUUACGAUGGAGAAUGGGACAACAAUAACAGCAGGGAAUACUAACACGUUUAGAGCAAACAUUUGGUUUAAUACAACUUGAGGAAAGAUUACAAUAUUUCGGGUCUAUUAUAGAGUCUGAGUGGUUAUGUAAUCACAAUCGAAACAAGUUUCAUGGAAAGUUUGCAAGCCAAGGCUUGUUUCGAUUGUAAUUUCAUUACUAUACGCCUGGCAGGGAUGAACAUGACUUCGAUGGCUGAACAGAAAACUCAUCCAAACCUACAGUUUCGAUUUAUUAUAUUUCCUUUUUAAUAAAAGAAAAAGUUAAGAUCGACGAACUUGACAUUACAUUUUCAUGCGAUCAGUCCAUGAAACUGAACUUCGAACAAGCCCCAAAGACACGGUGUCCAUACACAGAGGGGAUAAAGACCUACGAGAGGUGAAAUUUAUUCAUGAGGGUCUUUAGAACGUCAUACAGAACGGGGCAAAAAUGUUUACUUUGUACUUUGUACUGUCUUAAGUUUGCAGAUUGUUCGUUAGACAAAUUACGUUUGUAAAAAUGUCCUUUUAUUGUCUUCACGAGAGUUCUCAGUUCUAUCAGUAUCAGUUUUGAAACAGUUAAAAUGAAUAAAUACAAAUUUUCGCCUUA